UACGUAGGGGGCAAGCGUUGUCCGGCUUUAUUGGGCGUAAAGAGCGUGUAGGCGGCCAGGUAGGUCCGUUGUGAAAACUCGAGGCUCAACCUCGAGGCGCCGAUGGAAACCAUCUGGCUAGAGUCCGGAAGAGGAGAGUGGAAUUCCCGGUGUAGCGGUGAAAUGCGCAGAUAUCGGGAAGAACACCCGUGGCUAAGGCGGCUCUCUAGUACGGUACUGACGCUGAGACGCGAAAGCGUGGGGAGCGAACAGG
rnacentral:rRNA from 1 species